ACCGCCCCUCGCGCCGCCCAUUGGACGGCGCCCCGCCGACCCCUAUGCUGAUUGGCCACCCCUCUUGCUCGUCUUCUCCCUCCGCUCACCUUUCCGCCCCUACACGCUGCCUAUUGGGAAGAGCCUCGGAGAUCUCUCCGCCCAUUAGCCACGGCCCACGUCAAUCACAGCAGAACACCCGCCUCUCAACGCGUCUAAUUGGGCUGUCGAGUCACUACAGCUUCACUGAUUGGCUGCACUGGCUGACUGUCAUCAGUUAAAAUUGCCCCCUUAGCAACCCUCACUAGCUCCCACCCCUUCUUCCUUUCUGCCAGUUGGCUGCGAGAUUUGCGCCUUAAAUGGGGCACCAGCGCGCCCGCCCCUACUUGCCCCGUACGGAUUGGGUUGAGGGUCGCACCCUCGGACACCAUUGGAGAAGGGAUGUGCCCGUUACACCGUAGCGGCGCGAAGAUCCGCCCACCGAGCUGCUCUCCUUGGCGGCCUCUUCGCGGCGACGUUGGGGCCCUUCUCAGCCGAAGCGGGAGGGGAGGCUACGUCAGGGUGCCUACUUCACUUGCCGGCCCCAAGGGCGGGGCACUGUGACGGGCAUACGUGAUACCGAAUCCGGCCGCGGUUGUCGCCGCUCUGCGGCACCAAGUGCCCCCGCCGCGGAACGGCAAUAACGCCACACUCCCUACCGACCCCAACGACAUUUACCACUUGCCCCGCCCCUCCCUUCACGGGUAUGCCCGCCCUGAAACAACUAUUGGGCAGGGAAGAUGUCGGUCGUGCUGCUCACUAGGCCAUUGGCGGGACGCCGGCGCCUCCGCAGCCAACUGGCAGCCGCCCCCGAUGUCAGCCGCCGGAUGACACAGCAACCACUUCUCUGCGCUGAAUAUGACUUACAAUUUUCAGAUGGAAGCAAUCGGAAAACCUGUGAAAAUCGCUUUUGCAGUGACUACAAUAUAAUUCGUCAAUGUAAUUGUUAAAAAUAAACACUGAUCUUCCGUA